rnacentral:rRNA from 1 species
UGCUAUACUGCAGUCGAACGCUUCUUUUUCCACCGGAGCUUGCUCCACCGGAAAAAGAGGAGUGGCGAACGGGUGAGUAACACGUGGGUAACCUGCCCAUCAGAAGGGGAUAACACUUGGAAACAGGUGCUAAUACCGUAUAACAAUCAAAACCGCAUGGUUUUGAUUUGAAAGGCGCUUUCGGGUGUCGCUGAUGGAUGGACCCGCGGUGCAUUAGCUAGUUGGUGAGGUAACGGCUCACCAAGGCCACGAUGCAUAGCCGACCUGAGAGGGUGAUCGGCCACAUUGGGACUGAGACACGGCCCAAACUCCUACGGGAGGCAGCAGUAGGGAAUCUUCGGCAAUGGACGAAAGUCUGACCGAGCAACGCCGCGUGAGUGAAGAAGGUUUUCGGAUCGUAAAACUCUGUUGUUAGAGAAGAACAAGGAUGAGAGUAACUGUUCAUCCCUUGACGGUAUCUAACCAGAAAGCCACGGCUAACUACGUGCCAGCAGCCGCGGUAAUACGUAGGUGGCAAGCGUUGUCCGGAUUUAUUGGGCGUAAAGCGAGCGCAGGCGGUUUCUUAAGUCUGAUGUGAAAGCCCCCGGCUCAACCGGGGAGGGUCAUUGGAAACUGGGAGACUUGAGUGCAGAAGAGGAGAGUGGAAUUCCAUGUGUAGCGGUGAAAUGCGUAGAUAUAUGGAGGAACACCAGUGGCGAAGGCGGCUCUCUGGUCUGUAACUGACGCUGAGGCUCGAAAGCGUGGGGAGCAAACAGGAUUAGAUACCCUGGUAGUCCACGCCGUAAACGAUGAGUGCUAAGUGUUGGAGGGUUUCCGCCCUUCAGUGCUGCAGCUAACGCAUUAAGCACUCCGCCUGGGGAGUACGACCGCAAGGUUGAAACUCAAAGGAAUUGACGGGGGCCCGCACAAGCGGUGGAGCAUGUGGUUUAAUUCGAAGCAACGCGAGAACCUUACCAGGUCUUGACAUCCUUUGAC